rnacentral:rRNA from 1 species
GACAGAGGUGCCAAGCGUUAGGCGGAAUCACUGGGCUUAAAGCGUGUGUAGGCGGAUCGUUAAGUGCCUUGUGAAAUCCCAUGGCUUAACCAUGGAACUGCUCGGCAUACUGGCGGUCUUGAGCCAUCUAGGGGCUACCGGAACAAAUGGUGGAGCGGUGAAAUGCGUAGAUAUCCUAAGGAACACCGGUGGCGAAGGCGGCUUACUGGGUCUUAACUGACGCUGAGGCACGAAAGCCAGGGUAGCAAACGGG